AUUGAACUGAAGAGUUUGAUCCUGGCUCAGAUUGAACGCUGGCGGCAUGCCUUACACAUGCAAGUCGAACGGCAGCACGGGUGCUUGCACCUGGUGGCGAGUGGCGAACGGGUGAGUAAUACAUCGGAACAUGUCCUGUAGUGGGGGAUAGCCCGGCGAAAGCCGGAUUAAUACCGCAUACGAUCUACGGAUG
rnacentral:rRNA from 1 species